rnacentral:rRNA from 1 species
UACGUAGGGGGCAAGCGUUGUCCGGAUUUAUUGGGCGUAAAGCGCGCGUAGGCGGCCCGGUAAGUCCGCUGUAAAAGUCCAGGGCUUAACCCUGGAAAGCCGGUGGAUACUGUCGGGCUAGAGUCCGGAAGAGGCGAGUGGAAUUCCUGGUGUAGCGGUGAAAUGCGUAGAUAUCUGGAGGAACACCGGUGGCGAAGGCGACAUCCUGGACCGGUAUUGACGCUGAGGCGCGAAAGCCAGGGGAGCAAAGCGGG